CAGCCUUCUGAAAGGAAGAUUAAUCCAGGAUGGGAUCAUGAGUUCACAUGUCCGCAUGAUUAAAGGUAUUUCCGGUAGACGAUGGGGAUGCGUUCCAUUAGAUAGUAGGCGGGGUAACGGCCCACCUAGUCAACGAUGGAUAGGGGUUCUGAGAGGAAGGUCCCCCACAUUGGAACUGAGACACGGUCCAAACUCCUACGGGAGGCAGCAGUGAGGAAUAUUGGUCAAUGGGCGAUGGCCUGAACCAGCCAAGUAGCGUGAAGGAUGACUGCCCUAUGGGUUGUAAACUUCUUUUAUAAAGGAAUAAAGUCGGGUAUGCAUACCCGUUUGCAUGUACUUUAUGAAUAAGGAUCGGCUAACUCCGUGCCAGCAGCCGCGGUAAUACGGAGGAUCCGAGCGUUAUCCGGAUUUAUUGGGUUUAAAGGGAGCGUAGAUGGAUGUUUAAGUCAGUUGUGAAAGUUUGCGGCUCAACCGUAAAAUUGCAGUUGAUACUGGAUGUCUUGAGUGCAGUUGAGGCAGGCGGAAUUCGUGGUGUAGCGGUGAAAUGCUUAGAUAUCACGAAGAACUCCGAUUGCGAAGGCAGCCUGCUAAGCUGCAACUGACAUUGAGGCUCGAAAGUGUGGGUAUCAAACAGGAUUAGAUACCCUGGUAGUCCACACGGU
rnacentral:rRNA from 1 species